rnacentral:lncRNA from 1 species
UUUGCGCGCAGUUUGUGUUGCUCUGCAAUAACACUUCUGAAAUGCUAACUGGCAGUGAGGUGUUAAUGUUCCUCUGUGUUGAGUUUCUUCGCUGGUGUUUUGUUUUUUCUGAACGCUACCUUAAUGUAGAAGUAGCUUAAACUCGCUCACUUUGAGCUGGGAACCAGUGGACGUGAAACAACUUUAAUUAUAAGUUUUACCUUGCAGGGGUGGAACUGGAUGAUAGUCGGUUACCAAAGAGGGUGCUGUACUGAGGAGGUCCAUCAGAGGGAGCUGUUGUAAUGGCUACAGAGUGAUAGAAGGGCUUGUUAACGCUGUACUGAGGUCCUCAGUUAAACCAAAUGCUAUGAACAGAUUUAUAUUGCUUGAUAUUUCGUUUGUUAUGAAUUUUAUGACCUAUAAUUUUAUAAUAAUAGGCACAACCAUUCAUAUAUCCCUACCUGUGACAGGUGUGCUCUCCGAGAACACUUUAUCAAGGUGUGAUAAGGCUGCAUACUUGUCCUGAGAGGCAGGGGGCGGAGCAGCAGAACUGAGAGCAUUGUGGGCGUGGCUUAACCCCCCGAAAUCCAAACUCAUCGAUUUAGGGAAGGCUCUGAAUGGAGCCCCACCCCCAGUUGAAAGAGUGCGACCUAAACCAGAAAAGAAAAGCUCUCUUUAAAUGCGUUUGUGUUGUUGCUCAUUAUAUUUGUGAAAUAUGCAGCAUCUGUUAGAACUUGCUGAGGCAAUGCUAGAGUGAUUGCUUCAUGCUUCAUGCAGUUCCUAAAAAACUCUUGU